AUUGAACGCUGGCGGAAUGCUUUACACAUGCAAGUCGAACGGCAGCACGGGUGCUUGCACCUGGUGGCGAGUGGCGAACGGGUGAGUAAUACAUCGGAACGUACCCAGUUAUGGGGGAUAGCUAACCGAAAGGUUAGCUAAUACCGCAUACGCCCUGAGGGGGAAAGCGGGGGACCGUAAGGCCUCGCGUAAUUGGAGCGGCCGAUGUCUGAUUAGCUAGUUGGUGAGGUAAAGGCUCACCAAGGCGACGAUCAGUAGCAGGUCUGAGAGGAUGAGCUGCCACACUGGAGCUGAGACACGGUCCAGACUCCUACGGGAGGCAGCAGUGGGGAAUUUUGGACAAUGGGCGAAAGCCUGAUCCAGCCAUUCCGCGUGAGUGAAGAAGGCCUUCGGGUUGUAAAGCUCUUUCGGCAGGGAAGAAACGCUCUGGGAUAAUACCCGGCGGGCCUGACGGUACCCUCAAAGGAAGCACCGGCUAACUCUAUGCCAGCAGCCGCCGUAA
rnacentral:rRNA from 1 species